UACGAAGGGGGGCUAGCGUUGCUCGGAAUUACUGGGCGUAAAGGGAGCGUAGGCGGACAUUUUAAGUCAGAGGUGAAAUCCCGGAGCUUAACUUCGGAACUGCCUUUGAUACUGGGUGUCUUGAGUGUGAGAGAGGUAUGUGGAACUCCGAGUGUAGAGGUGAAAUUCGUAGAUAUUCGGAAGAAACACCAGUGGCGAAGGCGACAUACUGGCUCAUUACUGACGCUGAGGCUCGAAAGCGUGGGGAGCAAACAGG
rnacentral:rRNA from 1 species